AGUGGGAUAGCUGGGUUAAAUGGUGGUUCCAUUCCCAGUUUUCUGAGGAUUCUCCAUAUUGCUUUCCAUAUUGGCUGCACCAAUUUUAAGUCCCACCAGCAAU
rnacentral:pre_miRNA from 1 species